UAGAACGGUGGUUAGCAUAUGGUAAGCAUUAUAUACGUUCUCCAUAAAAUCAAUAAAUGAAAAUAAAGGUCCACGUGCUCUUCCUCAUCACAAAGAAUUCUGUUUGCACCCAUAGAUUUAUUCAUUCAAAGAUUGUUCACUGAGGGCCCCUCUGUGCCAGGCACCCCUCUAAGAGCUGGGGAAUAAGGCAGUGAACAUAACACACACAAGUUACAUUCUCCCAGGGGAGACAGAAAACAUAGGAAUGGACAACUAGAAUGAUAGAUCAUGCCUGGUACCAUGGGGAAAACAGCAUUCUAGCUGGAAAGAACAGCCCGUGCACAGGCGUGAGGCGUGAAGGAAUAACUAGCAUCACAGGGAGAGAGUGGGCAGUGCGUGUCAGAGAUUCAAGCGUGUCCAUCCUCCAGGUGGUGUGCAUCACACUCACUAUGUGAGAUUGCAACACUGAACAGUUGCCGUUCACGGGUUGUACACCCGGACAGCUGCGUCUCAGGACCAGGGACUCCCGGCUCUGCCGCUGGCCCGGCCCGGCCCAGCCUGAUUAGCCGCGUGACCCGAAGCUGUGGAGAGCCUUGUUUUCUCUGACAAGAAUACUAACGCCCUCCUCCUAGGGGUAUGGCAGGAAUUAAUGAGAUGGCAUGUGCAAUGUGCCAUGACCUUCACAAAAGAAAGCCUUACAUCACUGUAAAGCAAAAUUAUAAAAAAUGUACCAAGAAUGGGUGGCGUUAAUGGGUCUCUAAUUUAUUGAAGACAAAUCAUGCGGCAUGUUUAGUUAGCUUCACAGAGGCCAAGUUACAAUGCUAGCCUUUAACUCUCCGAAGAGAAAGCAAAUGCAUUUUAUUCCCUGCAGUUUUCAAACAGAGAGU